UGUCUUCUGCUCUUUAUUCCAGAGGGUAUACUCAUUCUUUGAAUGACUACUCCUUGUUCAUCAAAGGUAAACCUGGCUCCUUUGUGGUGGUAGCUGUCUAUGUGGAUGACAUAAUACUCACUGGGGAUGACAGUGAUCAACUGAUUGCUCUGAAACUAUUUCUGGAUGCACAGUUUAAAAUCAAGGAUUUAGGGUCUUUGCAUUAUUUUUUGGGCCUUGAAGUGUCUGCUAUCCCUGGUGGGAUGCACCUUAAUCAGCACAAGUAUAUCUCUGAUUUGCUACAUCAGUUUGACUGUGUCAAUGUCUCUUCUGUUGUGUCCCCUUUGGACAUCAAUGUCAAACUUCAUGCUGAUUCUGGUGACCUCUUGCCCUCUCCUGACCAGUAUAGGAGUCUAGUUGGCAAGAUGCUCUUCCUGACUCAUACUAGGCCUGACAUUUGUUUUGCAUUCCAGCAUCUGAGUCAAUUUCUCAAAUCCCCCAGACUUCCCCAUAUGACUGCUGCCUUGCAUGUUGCAGCCCAACAUCUGAGUCAAUUUCUCAAAUCCCCCAGACUUCCCUAUAUGACUGCUGCCUUGCAUGUUCUGAGAUACCUUAAAGGCACUCCUUCCUUGGGUUUAUUCUUCUCUGAUCAUGCUGAUUUUUCUGUUGCUGGGUAUUCUGAUAGUGACUGGGCUGCUUGCCCUGAUACUAGGCGCUCUGUUACUGGAUUUUGUGUGCUGUUGGGUGGCUGUUUGAUAAGUUGAAAAUCGAAAAAACAGCCUGCUGUUUCUCUUUCCUCUGCUAAGGCAGAAUACUGAGCCCUUAGCAAGGUUGUUGCUGAGUUGACUUGGCUCUCUCGCUUGUUGGCUGAUCUUGGGGUCUUUGUUUCCUCUCUUAUUUCUGUUUAUUGUGAUAGUAUGGCUGCUGUUCAUAUUGCUAACAAUCCUGUUUUUCAUGAACGUACGAAACAUAUCGAGGUGGAUUGCCAUGGCUCUCUCGCUUGUUGGCUGAUCUUGGGGUUUCUGUUUCCUCUCAUAUUUCUGUUUUUUGUGAUAGUAUGGCUGCUGUUCAUAUUGCUAACACUCAUGUUUUUCAUGAACGUACAAAACAUAUCGAGGUGGAUUGCCAUUUUGUUCGGGACUUGUUGAUUUCUGGUUUUAUCAAGUUGCUUCAUGUGCCUACUUCUCGUCAGCUAGCAGACUUGCUCACCAAGUCUCUGCUAGGCGCUUUGCUGCUUCCGCUGCUCACCAAGUUGCAGGUGGUUUUCCCCUCCAACUUGAGGGGGGGUGUUGACAUACGAGAUAUUACAUGAUUUAGACAUGAUUUAGAUUUGUAUAUACCUGUACAUUUUGUGUAUACUCAGUGUAUAUUGUAGGUAUAUUUCCGGCAUUGGGUUGUAAAUUGUAACUGGGCUGUGAUGAGUUAUGUGGUCUGAGCCCAAUGUCCC
rnacentral:lncRNA from 1 species